CUUGGUUCUUCUAGAAAUGUUGGACUUUUUCUCUAAAUUGGACUCAGAAUAUGGACAUUUCCUGGGCACACACCACAUAAUCACCCCAACUUUUAAUAUCUAAAGUAGUAGCAGUGAUUUGAAAGAGAAAUUUGUCAGCCAUGGUGUAAUUUUAAUUGAUAAAUGUUAUAGCAAGUGUCAGUUUGUUUUCUUCAACUCCUGCUGAUGGCUUUAACUGCAUAAAAAAUAUUCAAACUUAAAACAUCGUUGUGUUAUGAUACAACUUACUGACUUUUGCAGUAUUGUCAUUACAACCCAUUCAGGUGUGUGUGGAUGGAUCUGAAGCAGACAACAUGUAAGAUGGGUGCUGUCUAAUACAAUUCCUAUAGAUGUGGGUCCAGAAAAAUAGAACUGAGCCCGUGUCUUAAAAAAAAUAAAUGUUUAUUAAGCAGCUUACCCCAGUGGGACUUUUACCAGACAUUUCCCCAUUUGGUCUCUUCUGACACUCCCACCCUGAGGGAACAAUCAGUAACUGGGAAUUGAGUGUUUAUCCCUCUGUGAGGAGCCCUUUACUUCAGGGAUGGGAGUCUUAUUUUUAUCCCUCCCAUCUGAAGCUGCUUCCUUAAGUCUGUUUUGUUUUGUUUUUGUAAAGAAUUACGAAUUCUGGACAUGUUUGUAAGAUAAUCGCUCAAGAUUUGUAUAAAAUAUUGUUCACAGAUCUUUUAACGAAUAAACACAAAAAAAUACCAUGGAG
rnacentral:lncRNA from 1 species